rnacentral:ncRNA from 1 species
UUGUGAGCACUACAAAUCUGAAAGAAGCCAUUAGUAAAGUUGAAGUAUUGGCGCACAGAAAUCUGAUAUAAGGCUUACUUGGUGGGGCAACCGAGCCAUAGAAUGGGAACGCCCAAAUAUUAACCGUAAUACCAUAAAGUAAAUCAGGCAGUACGCAACGAAAGAAUAUUAU